GUUUCCUCUCGUUGGCUAGCCGCCUCGUAAACGACUGGACGAUCAUUCGAACGGAAAUGCUGGAUCGGGACGAAAAGCCGGAAUCGAGUCCCACUUGCUUUCCUUACCUGGCAGAAUAGCUUCUUCGGGUUACACCUGUGUAUACCUAGGGAUUAUGUUGGACACAAUAGUUUGCCUCGGUGCAAUAAAUACUUUAAUUUUGGUAAAUCUCAUGAAGUUGUAGAAUGGGUGCAAAUAAGAGAAAGAGAGAGAGAGAGGGAGAGAAAGGAAUAGGUUGGGAAAAAUAAUGGCGGGAGAAAUUUUAAACCAAUCCUUGGAAUAAAACAAGAAUUUGAUGAAAAACAGAAUUUGAUAAUAUGGAACGAUCUAAAAAAUGUACUACCACAGUUACUGAGUUCUCAUUUCUAAUAGAUUAAUAUGUGUUUGUAUAUCAGCGUGUAUGUAUAUACUGAUUUGUAUUUCUUUGUACAAUUUGCAAUACAGUUUUAUAUAAUAUUUGUAUUUUCUUUUGUUCAAUAAAGUUAUUGAUGAAUAGAUCUAUGUGGUUAUUCGUUAUUGAAAAAAAUUGCGCGAUAAGCAUAAACGUCAGAAAUAAAAGCGUCACUACUUUACAUUUAUGGAUAGAAAUCCGAGAGGUAUAUACCACAAGGUAAGGGAAAACCCUUCUUGAGAUAGCGUACAUUCACACGUGUAUAGUACGCGCCGAUGACACACGCGAUACCUCUAUUUUCUGAUUUAUUCGAAGAAGUUUUUAUUUCACUUGAAUAAGAGAUUGCUCGUUAUAUUCGAGCAACUCCGUUUUAUUCGCAACUUUUAGUCACAGACCGUAGGAAACAAAAUUUUGUUCGAAAAAUUUAUGUCAAAUUUCAUUUGAGUGUAAUUGUAUUUUAACGCCCUAUUUAAGAUUAAAAAAAAAAGAUGUAUUCGAGAUAUUUUAUUCGAACCAAGUUUCAUUCGAAAAAUUUAUUCGAAAUUUCAUUCGUGUUAGCAUUUUAUGCGAAUAAAGCCCAAUUUCGCUGUGGGGACAGUGAGUAGAGAGAUUCAGCCGAUUUACCAGAGAACAACCGUUUCGUGCAUUCCCGAGACUGUUGUCGUACCACCGCUGCGAUUAGGUGUAUUGUGGAGUUCACGAGUUUUGGCUAAUCGGGACCAUUCUUCGAGCGAAGAUUAAAGGGAAAUCGCCCUCUGACUUGAAGUUUUACGUGUUCUCCAGUGCUCCACACGUACUAGUAUGCAACUGUAUGGUUUGCAAAGGAAUGGAAAAUUCAUGGAAAAUUCAACGAUACGUGAAAUUUAUAAUAUAUUCGUAUACAAAAACGGACCAUUCUCUGAAUAAUCUCCUAUCUCGUAUAUCAGAACGCUGGAUGUAAAUUACAAAGUAUAAAGUUAGCACGCUUACUUGAUAUACAAGGUUAGUACGCUUACUUGAUAUACAAAGCUAACCUGUUGACUAGUAAAGACAAGUUAACCUUUGAACUUAAUAAUUAAUUUAUCCGAGGAUAUUCCGGUUUUAAUGCAUCGUUACGUUGCUAUUACAUUCUGCUAUUACACGUACAUUAUAUUAUACUCAUGUUUUAAAACGUCAAAAUGCAUCUAGUUAGAGUUAACCCGUGUUUUGAGAAUUUUUAAUUCCACCUGAAAAAGAAGUCUCUAUCUGAAAGGCGACCUAGUUAACAGGUUAAGACAAGGAACGCUAACGAAGGACAAUCAUGAGCAAGACGUGAGAUUUUUAAAGGAAACCGAGCUUGAAAAGUAGGUAGCCGGUAUAAAGUAUAAACGAAUUCUAAAGGGCUAACCACAAUUAUGCCAACUUUUCUCUUUUAUCAUUUAUGAAAAAGACGACUUUAAAUAUUGAAAAUUCGAGAUUGUACGACCGACUUCGUUUUGUUUUUAAAUCGUAAACUUUCAUAAGAAUAAUUAAAUAUUCUCCUACAGUCUCGUUGUAAAAAAUAUUGCAAAUUAUAUGCAUACAUAACGAAUAUCGCGAAGACUGACUACCUUUGUAAGGUUGGCAAUUAGAAGCCAUUCAAUGACAAAAGAUAAGAAUUAAAUAAAUAAUAAAAUAAAUAAAAUAAUAAUAACCGAAGCUUCUUUACUAUAUUUUGAAAUUCGCAUAGCAAAUUAAAAUUCCUGGUACACGGUAAAAUCCUCUCGAUUGUCGAUAGAUACAUAGAAUACAAUUUUAGGAUACAAUAUACAAAUAGAAAACUACUUAUUAAAGCCUUCUAUACAUACUUCUAUCUCUCAGUAUGGUAAGUAUCCAUACUUACCAUAAACAAUAUUUAAAGAAUUGCUGGUACCCGCACACGAACACGCUGAACCCAAUUUCUGCAGCGAUCGGUAGCCUCAAAAAUGCCUUAAAACAGAAACAGCUCGUUACAUGGAACAUUCCUGCCUCUUGAUAUUUUCUCACAUUACAGGUGACCGAUAUGUUUUCGUUUACCGCGUGGCCUGCUACGUAUACGUGGUUACGUGGUCGCAAUCGUACGGGACCCCGUGAAAGGAUCUCGUUAAGCCUCGCCACGAUCGUAUUUGGACUUUUUCAUCGAAUAAACGGUUCACCGGGAUCGCAUUAAUAUGGAACCCCGACGACCGGUAUAAUUAACUCGUCCACAACGCUUAUUUAUUCGAUCGGCCCGUAUCGCUAUCCGCGUAAAACAGCCUGUCAAACGUGGCCACCGAUGAACCUGUUCCGCGUCGGACUGUGUCGAGAUAAUCCGGAUGGGGCUCCUGAUUGAAACGCGCUGAGACGCGCAGGUGCUUUAAAUACGACAGCGUUAACGAUAGAGGCAUGAAAUUUGCAUCAAAGAAAUUUAAAUGACAAGUAUAUGAAAAAUGUAUAAUGCAAGGAGAAAGAAAAGUUUAAGAGCCCCUUAUAUUCGUUAACCAUUUUUGUUAACGCGCUUCUUAAUUUCAUCAAAUAAGUAGAUGAUUGUUUCGAUUUUCAAGAAACGAACGUCCUAUUUGUAUAAAUUUAUCGUUGGUCUAUUGCAAGAAGAUGACGUAAAUGAUAUUAAAUGAUAUUAAUUGAGAUAAACUACGGUAAGCAAGUGCACUAACGAAAUGUUACUAACUUCCAAGAAGCAUAUACAAAAAAUAUUUUACCCUUUCGAAAUCAAAAUUCUGGAAAUCCUGCUCCUAACGAUCACCUCGCGAUUCCAUUCUUCUAUCAUCAUGCACAAAAGUCUAUUACGAAUUAAAAAAACCAUUGCCGUCCCAAAAGGGACGAGCAAAUUAAUAAACGAAAUCCGAAAGAAAAGGAGAAAUACAAGUAUAAAAGACGAAGGAAAUAAUGGAGCCUGGAACGAGGAAAAAGAAGAAAGGAAAUGAAGAAAGGAAAAGAAGAAGGUGUGGGAAAGAGGCGAGGUUGGAGCAUUUGAUAGAACACUUUGUGCCUCAAGCGUGGCCAGUGCAACGACAUGCAUCGGCCGCAGCAAGGGCGACAUUAUCGCCGGUUGCACACACCGCGCGGCUGCGGAUGGUGCGGUAUGGUGGUUAGGGGCGGUUAGGGCAGUGCACCACAAGGGUGGUCAAACCGCAAACGAGACCACCGUCCUGGCUAUCUGCUAUCUGGAUAACCACCGCCGCCGCCGAUGCCCUCCGCCUCCGCGUUCGCCUCCUGCACACCUCCGCCUCCGGAAUGAGAGAGACGGACAAGGUAAAAGAGACAGAGAGAACGACAUCACGUUACCGUUUCCACCCACCAGAUCCUCGUCGUCGAACCGACGAUACCCGUCGACGUAACGCUCGCUUAUCUCGCUAAUUUCGAGCCGAUCGAUCAUCGAAACUCUCGUAAGAACGCGUUAACGAGCUGUCGCGUCUCCGCUUAGUCAUGUCGCUCCUCCUUUUUUUCUCUUUAUUUUAUGGCACACGCGUUCGAGAGCGCACUUUUUUCUUCCCUUUUCUUUUAAGCUUUUCUUUUUCCAGCGUUUCGUUCUGUGAAUGGGCCUCCGGUGGCACGAGACAAGAAAAUGUUCACUUGUGCCGCGUGAACGAGGAGGAUCGAGGAGCUGAUACGUGGAGCGUUAACGAUCUCCUUGGGUGGCACGGUAAUUACUUAAUGCCGAAGUUUUCAAGGCUUUUUAAGAUGCGAAGAGAGGAAGAAUACGUUUAAUCGCGAUGCUAUUCGGCUUUUUGUGGAGAAUUGUAUUGUCGUGAUUGCCAGUUGUGUGUUUCGAGUGCGCUUUUUAUCGCUGGUUUAUAUGACUCGAAGAAGCUCUCUUUUUGUUAAUAAGUACUUGUUGCCGCUGCUUUUUGGACGGAUGUGUAAUUUGUUGAAACGAUGGUAUGACGAGAUAUGAAGAAUUGGCAAUGAUCGUCAGUCCGCUUAUGUGUUAUUAGGAGAAUUUAAUAACGCACAAUUUCUGCCAUUUUAUAUCCAGACUGCACAGUAAAACAGCUUCAAUAUGUAAUUACCGCAAAUAAUCCCAAUCGAAAGAUACCAGCAUCCAAUCAUCGUUAUCCAAAAGUCUAAUUUUUCUGCCUUCAGUUCUCGUCAACAUGCAAAAUCGCGAAUCAACGAAAUCGUCCGACAACCUCGAAUCCCAUAUCUCGCGUACAACAUCUCCCUAUUCAUUUGACCGAAUACAUCUAUCCAAAAUUACAAGACCUCAUUAACGAAACAGUAUCAAAAGCAUCCUUAAAAAUCCGUAAAACAGACAUCAAAUGUUUCUCAUUCCUCCGAAAGAACAAAAUCAACAGCCUUUAAUUUCGAUGAAUUUCAAAUCUACGUAGGUAUAGGUCGCUGUAUAUCCAUCGAGAAUCGCAAAACUGAUCGACGACGAUCGUCGUGGAGCAACAACUAUCGAGCAACGCGAUUUUCGCUUUGCUCGAUUACGUAAAUCACACGCGUCCGUUUAACUAGUCUCAACAAGAGCAACUCUCGUUUAAUCGAUCUCGGUUAAUCGUCGAUCCUUAUCGAUCGUCCCUAUAUCCCACUCUUAAAUCGAGCCAUUCGAACGAUCUCUGUACACGUACAACUCAUCCCCUUGCAUACUCCUACUGGCUGUGAUUUCACACGAGGGAACGCCCCGAGGGAAACCGCGAAGUACGCGGCGGUGUCGCAAUUUUUCAAGUGGAACGAAAAAAACCACUGCGGCGGUGGCUGAGUUUUUGCGGCCGGUCGGCGAUCGUAGACGCUAGAAGGAGAACGAAUAAAUUGAAUAGCCCAGGAGGGGAAGGGUUUCUUUGUGCAAGGUGCGAGGAUAAAAAUCUCCGGUCGCCGUGUGCAAUUACCUUGGCAUGUAAUUGCAGCGAUUCACUCAGCUGCGCCUCGACCAGGCUGCACGAUAAAUUCCUCCUUCUUCGCCUUCCUUUCUGCCCUCCUCCUCCUCUUACCCUUUCUGUGCUAUUUCUUCUCUUUCCAUCAUUCUCUCUCUCGCUCUCUGUGUUUCGCUUUUUCUCUUUCUGGUUUCGUUUACGGCUACCGAGAAAUUUAAGCGCACCACGGCUCAUCGGCUAAAGGGGCGCCUGUAUAUUUAUGCGACGCACAGAGGGAGAGUGCAGCAACGUUUUAUGCCCGUACACAUGUUUAGCUGCGUUUACGAUCCCGCGAGCCAGCUGCCGUUUUACGUGGAUCCCCCGAUCGUUUCCUCGUCUUUUCCGAGGACGAACCGCACGUUUCUAACCUGGUAAAUCUGCUCUCCGUUUGCUGCUCAUUUUAAUCUCCUACCGACCUCUAAUUCACGCGGUCACGGGCUGCUCCAGUUGGGCUCGAUCGUCCGAGUAAUUGCGCCCUUGCGAGGUUUUUAAGGAGAUCAAUUUUUCUGUUUCGAUGCGCGUUGCACUUUCCCUUUGUACUUUAGCAUUAGACAAUCCAUGAGUCUCUCAGAUCGCGCGACGAAUUUUUUUAUUCUUUAUUUGUAGCUUUAUUUGUCUUUAUUAACACGUUGAUCGCCCGGCGUGAUUCAGCUAAGUUUCCUGCGAGGCCCAAGUUCGACCGGCGGUACGCAGAACGUAAACAGAGCGACGAGCGGGAAUUCAUUGCUUAUCGCCUUUGAUUCAUUGAAAAGAAAAGAUUACUUGGUUCUGAAAUGGAGAAAGCAAUAAGCUUUCCAGCUAAAGUAUUGCGAGGGAUCUCAUGGCAAAUAUCUCAGAUCUUUCAUUUAGUCGAGAAGCAUAUUUGUGAGACUUAUAUCAGUGAUUUUUUCAUCCUCAAAAUGUUCAGUAAACAGCGUAAAAAUAUAUUUGAAAAUGAGGAGAGUAAUGAUGACGAAGUCUACAACUAUUGUUCGAAGUGCGCAAAAUCACCUCAAAUGUGUUUGGAAUGUUUUAAAAAAUACCACGCGAUAUUGCAUAAUGUAAUAUUUUAUCCAGAAUAUAAAUGAAUGAAAAGUAUCGUAUAAUGUGUUUAUAAUAUUUUUAUGUUGUAUAUCCCAUAUUUAAUUAACUGGAACAAGAAGAGCGUCACCCGUACUUGGGUGACGGGUCCCUACGGAAGUGUACCCGUCACAUAGAUAUGGGUGACGUGGCGGCCAACGUGUUAAAUGGAUCGAUGAUGGACGAAGCACAACAAGAUCAGAAUCCAUCGGGUAUUUUGAGAAUGGUGUUCGCUUGUAAUAUCGAGUUCUUUGUAAUUGAUGUUAUUUUCGAAUACGAUAUUAUUCGAUACCAUUGCAGAGCAAAUAAUCUACAACUUUGGAAUAUAUAAUAAAUCGCAUUAUAUUAGACCUGCUGCAAUUAAGUCAAAAAUAAUUGAAAUAACAUUACGAUACGUUCGUAUUCAUUUUAGACAGAUAGACAGAGAGAGUGAGAGAGAGGGAGAGGCAGAGAACGAGUAUUUGUAACAUUAAUAUCAUUUAAGAGCACUAGGAAAUUAUUACUGUGCUAUUGGUUGAACGUAUUUUACGAUCCGCUACAAGAUGCGAUAAGAGAAAAUAUACUUUAUAUUUCUCGAAAGAAAUGCCAGUAACCGUUCUCAUUCUUUUUCCCUUGAAAAAUUUUCUUCCCUAAUUGUGAGAAACAUGAAAAUUAAAUCGUCGAGUUACACGUAUUUCUCAAACAAUAUCCUUCCUCGUAUUCAGAGACAGUAGAGAUUAUCCAAACCAAUCAUUCUUCUUCUGAUAAUAAUCAGCUGUUCCAUCGAGACUCUGCUAUAUUUUAUAAUUGAAAGAUCUGCGAUAUAAAUAGCGAAAGCGUUUCUCACAGAGAAAGAAUCGAACCGAAAAGGAUGCAACUUCGAAAUAAAUGUUUCUGCGUUCAAAUUCCAGGCAAAAUGGCGAAAAAAAGAGAAAAAUUCGCGCCCCGUUUCGGUGUGCCGUGCGCGUUGCUCGUUAAACGAUUCGUCGGUGGUAUUGAAAACGUAAAAAGCGGAAGUCGAAAAUCCAUUAUGCUUGGACGGCCGGGAAACGAAAUUUCAGCGUUAUGGACACGCAGGGAUCGCAAUAUCGAAGCCGAGAGAGCGUUUCUCGCGCGCUUGUUUCGACACGCGCGAGCAGCUGCACCGUCCGCGGCUGUAGCAAUUUUUGUCGUUGCAUUAACACCGCAGAAAAACAACCGCCACUGGGGCUGGUUACGUUUUCAUAGGCGUGCGUCACCUCAGCUUUUCGCGGUUUACACGAUGACUCUCCGGCCAAAUGCGUGCGUACGCGUAUGCGUUGCCGAUGUACACGCGUGAACAGCGUGAACGCGCUCGAUCAACCGACGAUAUUUGAUUUUUGUAACUGAAAAAUCGAGAGAUUACUUGGAAACUUUUAAACUGCCGGAGGUAGAAAACAGCUGGAACAGUAGUUGGCGUGUAGGUGCGCCUGUACGGGCCAUGUAAUAUCUGUGCGUUUUUGAUGUUACGAUUUUUUUCUAACUGGUCCGUGUACAGAUAUGCACGACUGUUCGCGCACACCUUUCUGUUCAUUCUUUCGCGUUAUUUUUCUGCGAGGUAGAACAAUGUGUUGUUACAUUCGUUGCAGCAGAAUCUUUCCACCUAUUAGAUGGAUACAAAUGUCAAAACUUGGUGAUUUCGUACUUGAUGACUUUGUCUUCUGAUAAGUCGACAUUAAACUAAAUUUUAUUUUCUUGCGUUCUAAUUUCGCGACGUUUUGAACGUCUGUAUCUAUUUAUCUUUCGGCUUGUGAGAUGUACGAUACUCCUUAAUCAGCCUGCGUUGGGUUAGGUUUCUGGCCAAGCAAACGAAUGGUUGAUUACAUUUGUUUAUAAAAUGUUUGACAAAUAUUAUUUAUAAAAAUCGUAAAACAUACAUAUAUAUAGAUAGGCACAUAUAUUUAAAACACAUACGAUAUAUGUACACAUAGUCUUAUCCACAAUGUUCCAAUUUUUUAAAUUGAUACACAAAUCUCGAUCUUUUUCUUACCGUGGUAUUAUCAGUUUUUACAGAGUGGAAGAAUAAAAACCGGAUAGAAAAACGUCGGAUGAAAGAGGUCAAGCCAAUGUCGAUAAUUUGAGAUAGUUACAAUGUUGCUAGAAAACAGAAUUGUUUCGUAAUACAGCGAGUACACAAGGAUCAGAUGCGAUUCGUAAGUAAUUGGUCACGCGUGGCAUAGUGUAACAGAAGAAUGCAAAAAGGGACUGACAGUGCAAUAGGUUAAUCGAUUCCAUUGCGGAAGGCGAUCCUUAAAAGGUCAACUUGCUCGGAUCGACAAAAAGGAGCCUAGUGUCUUCGACUUCUUCGAGACCGCUUCGUGAUCGGUUCGCAGAAAACCAUCCUUUUUUUCUCUCAUUCGACCUCUCGACUCGCCAGAGUAUCCUCGACGAUCUCUAAUGCAUGCAAAUCGCCAUAAAUCCCAAGAUCUUCGAGCUUUCUCCGACAACCCGCGAGAUUACAUAUCACUCGGUUCUUCGCGCGGCAUUUUCUCAAGAGACGAUCACUUUCAUCGAAUAUAACCAACCACCUAAUAUAACCUAAUCGCCCAACCUAACCACCAAAUAUAAUAGAUAGCAAAAACUGGAGCAAAGACCAGAGAAAUAAAAAGAUAAAAGAGCGCUCAGUGAGUGAAAUGCAAUACGAAGAUCUUCGCCCAUCAUAAUCAUCGGAUUGCGAAUGCAAAUGAGACGUAAGCAAAGAGCCGCGUGUUUCAUCUAUUGAAUAUUGUAACUGUACUACGGAUUUUCGUACAUUUGUGGAAAAUUUGAAAAUGCAAAAGUGUAUAAAAUAUCUAUAAGUGUCUUUUACAAUGUGUGGCGUGUAACAAAAUUUCUAUGUAUGUUUGAUUAUGUUUAUAAAAAUAUGAAUUUGCAUAAAUAUCCGCACUCUAUUUUUAGUGUUUCAUAUUCCUCUGCAUAUCACGCGCACUCUGUAUAUUUCUGCUUCUUCAAAUUCCCCGUAAACGCAUAAAACUCCGCGGUCUAAUAAGUAUCCUUGACGCGAAGAUAUGAAAAAGGUACAAAUCCGCAAGAAUCUUCGUGGACUCGGUUCAACGUCGAAAUUCAUAGCACGAGACACGUGUGUCUCGAUUGCAGCGGUCCGGAGACCGGUAAUUUUCUCCUGUAUCUCGCUUUUCACGCGGACAAGCGUGCAUAUUCCCGCUGCGAGCUGCUCUCUCGUGUUUGCAGAUAUCAUGGCCCAUCCAAGGGAGAUUGCACUCGCAGGAGUAACGAAGAAGGGUAUAUCACAUGAAACACCAACACGUACUAAAUAGAGACAGACUCGUAGCAAGAGAGAGAGAGAGAGAGAGAGAGAGAGAGAGUGAAACAGACGAAACAACGCCAGAGAAACAACUACUACAUUUCUAUACAUUGUACAACUACAUUUAAGAGAAGUAAGAAACGAAGAUCUGUGUGAUUCAACUUUCUAUAAUUUAAAAAUCUCUAUACGACAAUGAUUCUCUUCGUUUCUUUCUGCCUCAGUGUGAAGACAUUUGCUUCUAACUUAUAUGGAAUAUUUUACCACGUAUCUAGAUACGUACUUUUAUCCGUAUAACAGUCAUUUGCAGAUACACACACACAUACACACUAGGAAAUCAACCUUCAACAAAUCCAAGUUUACCUGUAUAAGUAAAAGCUUAAUCAUCGCUGCGACGUAGUAGAUUAUAUUAGGUCGUCCGAAAAGUUUCUUUCGUUUUGUAAGAAAAUAAUGGAUGCACAACAUUAUUCGUUCUAUAUCAUUUUAUCAAAUUACGUAUGAUCCAUUUCGCUCUAUCAAGAUAAAGAUCACAACGUUUGACAGAUUAGGUUUCACGUUUGUAUAAAGAUGCGUUGUUGUAAAAGACGUGUUUGUAAAAGAAAGACAACCUAAUAUAUGCAUACGUACACAGUCGUAUCUUACGAUAAAAGGUCGUAUUUCAAUCCUCACUGUGCUCCUUUUGCACGCCAACUAUGUAACUCGAAUUAUAUAUUUUUUCUAGAAUCAUCAAAUUCGCCUUUUCUCCAGCCUCCACAAUCCCAGAGAUACGAACUCUUAUCGACCUGCGAGAUCACCAGCUUACGAAUCCUCCCGAUAUCUUGCUCAUCUUAUAACGCUUACUGUAUCCGAAAGAUAUCCGCACAACUCGAAGAUUCUCUGGCGUCAAGAUGCGAGGCUCGACCGUGUAACGCGAGAAUGGAAUGAAAGCACGCGAAACGGGCAGAAACAGUGCGCCUACGUGACAAAGCUCGCAGAGCAUAGAUACUAGACGUAGUUCGUUAGCGAUGGACCGAGCAAGGCAGAGAGUACAGAACGAUAGAACUGGAUAGCGUGGUAUAGCGUCGGCAUAAGGGAUGAAGAGCGCAAAGGGGUGGAACAGAGAGGCUUCUACACUGAGGCAGAAUGGGAUAGAGACACGCGUUGCCGCGUUUAUUAGUGUCCAAUUGUGACGAGAGAGGCGCAGGGUAACACGAAAGCGAGCGCGUGAACUCGCUCAUUUGCGUGCCUGUUAAUUUGCCACGUUUGUGUGAGCACCGUGCCGCGCUGCGGCACGCACAAGCCAGUCCCCGCCAAUGGACAGAGAGAAAAUUAGCGCUUUGAGUAUGGGUGCCUGACCGCCUGCCGGCCAGAACCCAGCUCUCUCGGACCCUGGCUUGCUCGCGUCGCAAUGCGAGAGCGCGUGGUGGAAGCGUACGUGCGCGUCGGCUCGCGUACCAACGCCUGGGUGGUCCCCUGUGGUGCGUCGGAUAAAAAUCGCCCGACAUUCGACGUCUCCUUUUCCUUUUUGCGCGUUUUUCUCGCUUUCUUUCUUCUCGCGCAGCGGACGCGACGAAAGCGCGUCGCGUUAGGCGGCGAGCUUCGUCACGUUCGAUUUUCAUGGACCAGCGUUCGAUCCGUAACGGGUCAAGGUUCGUAUCUUCGAUAUCGAAUCGAGGAUGGUUCGAUGUCGUGGCGUAGGGAGCGGAAAAAUAGUUGAUCGACGAAAAGAAGGGAACCAGGGAUUACGUGGCAAAUAGCGGCGCUGAUUAUACGUGGAAUUGCAAAAUUAUUUGUUGGGGAAAUCGUUGGAUCCUUAAACGUUAAAUGCUGUUAAUUUGUUGAAAUCGAUUAUUGAGGCGUAAUGUGUUCCGAGUUAUCGUCUAUUUCGCAUUGCAAAUAUCUUGCAAGUUGGAUGAGGAAGGAAUAUCCUUGGCAGAAAAGUGGAUUUUUCUGAGAAAGCUGGAAACGGAUUUUCUGCAAAAUUUUGUACAUUUUUUGUACGACGAUGUUGGUAAAAUAAAAGUUGCGUGAAAUUAAUCAUCUGUCAUAAACAUUCACCAUAAACUUCUGCUUAUUAUUCGUAAUAUUUUCACGUUACGAGUACGCAAGUUUUUUAAAACGUCGGUAGUCCGCUAAUCGAUGUUAUUGCGAUCACUUGAAGUGAUAAGAAAUACAGCUGCUUUUAUUCGACAGGUUUAUUGUGCGUUGUCUUUAUUUUAUCAUCCCCGUACAUCCCCAUCAAGUAGCUAAUAAAUAUUGAUUUCUACGUGUGUGUUUAACCCGUUCGUUUCAGAAAGAAAAUCCAUUCUAUCGACGAUGCGUAUUAUCAAGUUCCGAAAGAAAUAAUCAAGCAAUUCAUACUUUGCACCUGACACGCGUAAAAUAAAUAUUCAAGUUCCGUGGAAUAAACACACGAGCGAAGUAGAGACAAAAAGCUCGUCUUCAAAAAUAAAAUUGACUCUGAACAAACCAUUAAAAAACUUCAUACAUCAAAACUAACAUACUUAUAUACAUAUGUACACUGUACAUAAAUCGUUUGCACAAGCUUUGUUUAUGUAGAGGUCCGCGCACAUCGCGCGUCUUUUCACCAAACAUAAUCGAUCGACCCUUCUAAAACUGGUUUCUGGAAAUUGAAAAAUGUUGCAAAGCUCGUCUCCCCAACGACAUGCAACAACGAAAAGAGUACGCAAAUCGUAAAGACUAAAUAUUCGAACGAUGCAACGAGAACGUGGAAAACGUUUCCAUCGUUCUUGUCGCGUUAUGCCAGUUAGCCCUGUUCCAAACCGAUGUAGAAACAGCGAACGAGGAGGGAUGGAAGCCGUGACGAACGUACGACACGGUAUACACGCGCGUAAAAGGUACACGGGUUUCCGCGAAAUUGGACAUCGACGCGAAGCGUAAUAGGACAGAGGCUCGCGGCACGGAUAGCUCAAGUUACUGGCGGCUAACGAUCCCGAAUGAUAGCGGUACGCUCCGCUUAUUACGCCGUUACCCGUCCAUUUUUACGCGUAAAAUGGAGAUUACACGGUGUCCGGGUACGAUCACGAUCGCGAUCGAUCAAGCAGUCGCCGCGUGUAUCCGUUUCUGGAAAUACACUGUGGCGUGUAACCGCGGUUGUUCGCUCGUUGAACGAGCGCUCGUGCGCGUUUCGCGCGUUCCACGUGGAAAAUGCUGUUUCUAAAACGAAAUAAAACGGCCAGGAUCCGUAGUAGGAUCCUCCGACGAGACAGUACCGAUGCAACGGGAUGGGCGGAGGGCGAGAGAGUCGGUCGAUUAAGUGGUUACGUCGCGUUUGACACGAUCGAACGGACAGACUUGCUCGCGCCUGUUAAUCCUCUUACCGCAGAACACACUGCACCGGUGUAAACGAUUAAAGCGAUGACGCAAAAGAGAGCGAGCCAGUAGAGGCAUGGAGAGAAACGAAGGCGUUGAGUAGCGGUACAAGAACACCGGUCUUCUGUACUUGCUAAUAAAACGGCGGAGAAACGAGCAAGCUCGCGCCAACGAAUAAAUAAACCUGCGACCAGCUGUUCGCUUGCCCGUUCACCGAAUUAACCGUAAUAACCGAUGCAUUUAGCCGCGACAUUCAAAACUUGUGCACGAAAUACCAUCGCCAAUUCGCCAUCCCCCACCCGAAAACCUUCCUCCCCCACCACUUUUGCCACCGCCACCGGCGGAACUCCAUCCGUCCUGCCGCGCCGCAUAUCAUUACCAUGCAAAUACGCUUGGCGUGCGGCAAAGCCCGUGUAAAAUCGCCCACCCUCUUUACCUCGUACCCUGCUUCGCCUACACUCGUAUUCAUCUCCCUCCCACGCAACGGCGGUUCUCUUUUCCACCUUCCUACUCCCACACCGUGUCCGUUGUCCACUCGCGAUUCCACUUCGCACCAGCUACCCAGUCACAUAUGCAAAACGUGCCACUAUUAUAAUAACAUUACGCCGAUGAACCUUCCAUUGAAUAUGCGCUCCGCGAUCGUGGAUUGCAUCGCUAAUUAUCUACCGGGUGGCGUGAUUCGCACGAGGCUCGCACGAUCGCCAUUUCGAACGUAACGUACGCUACGUUUCAUCUUCUUUCCUUCUUCUACCCGUUGUUUCACUACCUUCGCGUAACAGUCAUAUCUUUCUUCUUCUUUUUGUUAGUCGUACAGCAGCGGCUGUCGAGUUCACCGCAAUUCGUUCGCCGUGGAAAUCGCGUGAAACGCGAGGAACGAAAUGCCGUGGCUUCCGACGCGUAUGCGGUUGUGUUAUACUUUUUUUCUCGCUCCCUUCCCUUUUUUUUUUUUUUUUUCCAUCGACGAAACGGUGUCGUAAUUUUCGCGACACGAUACGCCAGCGUUGUGACUAAAUAUUGUUGACGCCAUGCGUCGCUUUCUCUCUUUGUAUCAGUCCUCUGGCUCUCUCGAUCCACGUCGGCUGCCGCCGCGCCGUUGACACGUUUAUGGGCACGGAGGCUCCGGGGACCAGGGCCGUGUGACGACCCUUGUUUUAUAUUUUCAGUGACGGGCGCCGGCACGCGUUCGUUAGUCUGUUCGGCCGCUUUCGAAUGUUUGCGGCGCGAAGUGGUCUCGCCGCGCGUUCAUCGGUUUUUAUAUUACAACCGUGGCGAGAUAAUAUUUGCCCGCGAUUUUCGUUUCAUACCUACCCUUGCAGCAUGAUAAACCCAUGCAGACGUGCGCGCGUGCGCGCGCGCGCGCACGCUCUCCCGCCGCGUAUAUGAGGUUAUUUUUUCCCAUCGAAACUCUAUUUCUCUGCGUUGUUUUUUUUAUACCAAUCACCCCCCUCCCCUUUUC